AUGGGACGCUUCAGCGUCAGCCUUGUGGACAAAUGAUUUGUCUGCAGAAGGCAUCGAUUCUACACAGUCAUGGAGGUCUCUGUCUGACUUGGACAGCUGGCUAAGACCCAUCAGUCCCCUCCCAUGCAAC
ensembl:scaRNA predicted gene, 22387